GGUUGUCGUCAGCUCGUGCCGUGAGGUGUUGGGUUAAGUCCCGCAACGAGCGCCAACCCCUGCAUUCAGUUGCCAGUCGGGUAAUGCCGGGCACUCUGGAAGGACUGCCAUCGACAAGAUGGAGGAAGGUGGGGAUGACGUCAAGUCAUCAUGGCCCUUAUGUCCAGGGCGACACACGUGCUACAAUGGCCGGCACAACGGGAAGCGAGUUCGCGAGGACGAGCGGAUCCCUCAAAGCCGGUCGCAGUUCGGAUUGAAGUCUGCAACUCGACUUCAUGAAGCUGGAAUCGCUAGUAAUCGUGGAUCAGCCAAGCCGCGGUGAAUACGUUCCCGGGCCUU
rnacentral:rRNA from 1 species